UCAGGUUAACUCAAAAGGAUGGAUCACCUGU
rnacentral:piRNA from 1 species